rnacentral:rRNA from 1 species
AUACGGAGGGUGCAAGCGUUAUCCGGAAUCAUUGGGUUUAAAGGGUCCGUAGGCGGACUAUUAAGUCAGAGGUGAAAUCCCACAGCUCAACUGUGGAACUGCCUUUGAUACUGGUAGUCUUGAGUUAUAUGGAAGUAGAUAGAAUGUGUAGUGUAGCGGUGAAAUGCAUAGAUAUUACACAGAAUACCGAUUGCGAAGGCAGUCUACUACGUAUAUACUGACGCUAAGGGACGAAAGCGUGGGGAGCGAACAGGAUUAGAUACCCUUGUAGUCC